CCUGGACACCUUGUGUGGCUCCUGGUGCAAAUCCUCGUGCAAGAAACCACAGCACUCACCUCUAUGAGCCUUGUAGAGCCGGAGGUCUCCGUGCAACGCCCCCUAAAGUGACCCCAAGCCCCGACCCCACAACAUCACAACGCCCCUGGACGCCUUGUGUGGCUCCUGGUGCAAAUCCUCGUGCAAACCCUCGUGCAAGAAACCCCCAAACCCACCUCUAUGAGCCUUGUAGAGCCGGAGGUCUCCGUGCAACGCCCCCUAAAGUGACCCCAAGCCCCGACCCCACAACAUCACAACGCCCCUGGACGCCUUGUGUGGCUCCUCGUGCAAAUCCUCGUGCAAACCCUCGUGCAAGAAACCCCCAAACCCACCUCUAUGAGCCUUGUAGAGCCGGAGGUCUCCGUGCAACGCCCCCUAAAGUGACCCCAAGCCCCGACCCCACAACAUCACAACGGCCCUGGACACCUUGUGUGGCUCCUUGUGCAAAUCCUCGUGCAAGAAACCACAGCACCCACCUCUAUGAGCCUUGUAGAGCCGGAGGUCUCCGUGCAACGCCCCCUAAAGUGACCCCAAACCCCGACCCCACAGCCGUGUGCCAGCCCCAGACCCCUCGUGUGACCCCUCGUGCAAAUCCUUGUGCAAGGGACUCAGAUAAGGGAUUCUAGAAGGUGACCCUUAUGGAGCCGGAGGUCUCCGUGCAACGCCCCCUAAAGUGACCCCAAGCCCCGACCCCACAGCAUCACAACGGCCCUGGACACCUUGUGUGGCUCCUUGUGCAAAUCCUCGUGCAAGAAACCCCAAAACCCACCUCUAUGAGCCUUGUAGAGCCGGAGGUCUCUGUGCAACGCCCCCUAAAGUGACCCCAAGCCCCGACCCCAUAACAUCACAACGCCCCUGGACGCCUUGUGUGGCUCCUGGUGCAAAUCCUCGUGCAAGAAAUCACAGCACCCCACCUCUAUGAGCCUUGUAGAGCCGGAGGUCUCCGUGCAACGCCCCCUAAUGUGACCCCAAACCCCGACCCCAUAACAUCACAAUGCCCCUGGACGCCUUGUGUGGCUCCUGGUGCAAAUCCUCGUGCAAACCCUCGUGCAAGAAACCCCCAAACCCACCUCUAUGAGCCUUGUAGAGCCGGAGGUCUCCGUGCAACGCCCCCUAAAGUGACCCCAAGCCCCGACCCCAUAACAUCACAACGCCCCUGGACGCCUUGUGUGGCUCCUGGUGCAAAUCCUCGUGCAAGAAACCACAGCACUCACCUCUAUGAGCCUUGUAGAGCCGGAGGUCACCGUGCAACGCCCCCUAAAGUGACCCCAAACCCCGACCCCACAGCUGUGUGCCAGCCCCAGACCCCUUGUGUGACCCCUCGUGCAAAUCCUUGUGCAAGGGACUCAGAUAAGGGAUUCUAUAAGGUGACCCUUAUGGAGCCGGAGGUCUCUGUGCAACGCCCCCUAAAGUGACCCCAAGCCCCGACCCCAUAACAUCACAACGGCCCUGGACGCCUUGUGUGGCUCCUGGUGCAAAUCCUCGUGCAAGAAACCCCCAAACCCACCUCUAUGAGCCUUGUAGAGCCGGAGGUCACCGUGCAACGCCCCCUAAAGUGACCCCAAGCCCUGACCCCACAUGGCAGCGCCCCAGGCCCCCCCCCUUGUGCCCCGUGGUGC